rnacentral:rRNA from 1 species
UUGCCCUACGGGGCGCAGCAGUGAGGAAUAUUGGUCAAUGGGCGGAAGCCUGAACCAGCCAAGUCGCGUGAGGGAAUAAGGCCCUACGGGUCGUAAACCUCUUUUGCCGGGGAGCAAGGGCGGGGACGUGUCCCGGCCCGGAGAGUACCCGGAGAAAAAGCAUCGGCUAACUCCGUGCCAGCAGCCGCGGUAAUACGGAGGAUGCGAGCGUUAUCCGGAUUUAUUGGGUUUAAAGGGUGCGUAGGCGGGCUUUUAAGUCAGUUGUGAAAGUUUGCGGCUCAACCGUAAAAUUGCAAU